GAGAGCCGGGGGCGGGACGGGCGCCGGGGCGGGGCCGAGAUGGGAGGAGCUAACUGCAGGCCCCGCCCUCCUCUCCCUGGAGAGACCCGGACAGGCCUAUUGGGCAUAGUCUUAAAGGGCUAGCUCUCCUCGCGCUCUUCCCAGCAUGAAAUCUGUCCCGAAAUUGUAGGACUCUGCUUCCUUACCUAUAAGACAGCCGCAACUUGCGCCCAAGUUUCUCUUUCAGCUGCAGAGAAUGCGGUUCCUUAGACCCGUGGGUGGUGUGGGUGGCUUGUAACCGUAGUGUGAACACCGUCUUGUGCCUGAUCUGGAGGCUUCCUAGGGCCCGGGCUGCUGGAGGAUGGACCCAUCCACCCCCACACACACCUCUGCCUCUUUCACCAUCCCUGCGCCGACCGGGGACCUUAUUCCAGACCUCCCGCCAACAUAGACACAAGCAUUCGCGCCUCAAGUUUAUUGAGCGCCUGUUGCAUGCACAACUUCAAUACUGAAAAUAUAUGACAUGUGGCAGCUCCGAGACACAGAGGACGAGGAAGGACCGUGGCUACUCAUGUGGGUUCUCCAGCCACUCGCCAGCCCGCUAAGACUUUUCCAACUAAGUUCGAUUCCUAGAACCUGCUGCCCAGGAACUGAGACUUCCGGUGGCCACGUGAGCCACGUGAUUCGGUCUUGGGCUCUUUAGGCAACAGUUCAAUACGGGAAGUUGCAUCCCAGAGCCCAUUGACUCUGAGGCUACUUAGGGCCGUGGCUUCAGUGGCAUCUCCUUCUCACUCAGGGCCGUAUCCAUGCGGACCUCCAGGACACGGAUGGCCUUCACCGGCCACUGUUUCUGCAAGACACUGGACCCUUUGGAAAGUGAUGUAGUGAACUGAGGGCGCACACACCUCCGCCCCAAGCACCUCUUGCGAGAGCAAUUGGAACAGAGGGCAAUUUGUGGAGGAGGACACUAGCCGCCUCUCCGGCUCCGGGCCUCAAAGGACUCCUGGCAGCGGCGCAAAGCCGGCCGGAAGACAGCCGCACCGCCCCUCCCGGUCCAGGCCCAGCCUGCCUGGCCAAGGAUCAAAGAGACAGGGCCUUGCUUCUCAGCGCUCAGAUCCUAUCAGCGCCCUGCCAGCGAGGCUUCUGGGUCCUCCAGCUCCCGGUUGGGAUGCCCAUUUUUUCUCCCUCCCCAGAGCUGAGGGACUUGGCCAUUAGUGCUCAGCUUGGCAAUAGAGACGCGGUGCGGAUCCUGUCCUUGGAGCCUCUGGAGUCUUCCUCCCGCAGGUGCCAGCUUGCUGCUGAUUUUGACCCCAUCCUUUCAAGACUGGGGGCAGGGCAGGAGCUCCAACGGAAAGAGACAGGAGAGGAAAGAUCCCGGGGCGAGACCUCCCUGACCUCAGCUCUGAGGUUGUCGGGUCUGGUUCUGGGAUGACCACCUUUCUGAGAAAGUUGCUGAGAAAUUAAGAUCAUCGUAAGCACUGUGAAUCCUCCUGAACGACUCCAGUUUAGGCAAAGUUGCUUCCAUGCUGGUUAGCAUACUAUGAGCUCCCAACUGAUGCAGGCCAUUGGGGACCAAAUUUCUCUCUAUCCAAGAAGACAAGUCAGGGAAGGAGAGAUGUGAUCCCCACCCCCGCCGCAGGCUAAUUUUUUUCCCAACUUGGCAUUGCCCUUUUAUCAAAGAGCAAGGUCUUUCUACUUCAUUGGUGCAGUAAGCAGCUUGUCUUCAAACGGUAGCGAAAAGGGAAUUUUUUAUAUGCCCUUAUUUGGCAAAAGAAAAUAUACUUUUUCCUGAUGUGUUCACCCUCCCACCCUCAAGUGUCUUUGGAUGACUUUAUAGAGCUGUGAAAUCCCCCAAGCCUGGGAACCACUGCCCUGAGGGAUCCUGGGCUCUCAGCCUCACCCGAUCUGGCCAAAUUCCAUACUGGAUUCCCAACAAAUGUAUCUGGAAUUCACUCAGAAGGAAUUAUCUGGGUCAGAGACAGCAAGGUACCCAAGAAUGACCUUCAGCUCCCACUCUUUCUGAAUACUGGGCUUGCAGACCUACACCAUUGCUUUUAUGUGGUACUGGGAAUGAAUCCUGGACUUCACGCUUGCGGGGGAGCAGGGGGGGCAGAUGUUUAUCAAUUCUCCUGGAUUUCCACCACUCCUGGUUUGGGCUUCUGUUGCUGUGAUGAACACCGUGACUGAAGCAAGUUGGGGAGGAAACGGUUUAUUUGGCUCAGGCUCCCACAUCACAGUCCAUCCCUGAAGGAAGUCAGGACAGGAACUCAAGCAGAGCAGGAUCUUAGAGCAGGAGCUGACGCAGAGGGCGUGGAAGGGGACUGCUUACUGGCUCGAUCAUUAUGGCUUCCUCAGCCUGAUUUGUUAUGGAACUCAAAAAUCACCAGCCUAGGGAUGGCCUCACCCACAGUGGGCUGAGCCCUCCCCCAUCAAUCACUAAUUAAUUACAACCAGAUCUUAU